rnacentral:lncRNA from 1 species
CUUGGGUGCACACAUCUAGUAGUAUAUGCAUUCCUGCAUAUAAGUAUGCAUUUAUUUGACUUGUAUGUUAUCAUAAAAUAUUUUCUCUUAGCUAGGCAUGAUGGUGUGUGUGUAUAAUCUCGGAGUCCAGGAGGCUGGGGCAGGUAUCUUCUCCACUUCCUUCCUUGUCCCCUCAAAGAUCUUGACUAACAUCAAGGCAACACCUUCUUUGUAGAUGGAAGAGGUAGGAAUCCCUGGGCAGCCAACAAGGGUGACCUGGAU